rnacentral:rRNA from 1 species
GAUGAACGCUGGCGGCGUGCCUAAUACAUGCAAGUCGAGCGAACAGACGAGGAGCUUGCUCCUCUGACGUUAGCGGCGGACGGGUGAGUAACACGUGGAUAACCUACCUAUAAGACUGGGAUAACUUCGGGAAACCGGAGCUAAUACCGGAUAAUAUAUUGAACCGCAUGGUUCAAUAGUGAAAGACGGUUUUGCUGUCACUUAUAGAUGGAUCCGCGCCGCAUUAGCUAGUUGGUAAGGUAACGGCUUACCAAGGCGACGAUGCGUAGCGGACCUGAGAGGAGGAUCAGCAAAACUGGAACUGAGACACGGUCCAGACUCCUACGGGAGGCAGCAGUGGGGAAUAUGGGACAAUGGGCGAAAGCCUGAUCCAGCCAUGCAGCGUGUGUGAAGAAGGUCUUCGGAUUGUAAAGCACUUUAAGUUGGGAGGAAGGGCAGUAAGUUAAUAACUUGCUGUUUUGACGUUACCAAAAGAAUAAGCAACGGCUAACUUCGUG